GAAUGUUUAAAAUAUAUAGUAGACUUGUAAAACAAAAUUUCAAUCCGCUUCUAUAUAUUUGCUGAUAAGAUGUCACAGCAAAUGACAACCGUGGGUGACUUGAGUAAUAUUGACCAGCUCAUCCUGCGCAUUAUUGACACUCGUCGUUUGAAGCAGCUUAAUUUAACAGAAACUGAUAUACGGCUAAUAUGUAACAAAUCUCGAGAAGUUUUUAUGUCGCAACCCAUGCUGCUUGAACUUUCGGCUCCGGUAAAGAUCUGCGGUGACAUACACGGUCAGUUCUCGGACCUUUUGCGUCUGUUUGAUUAUGGUGGAUACCCACCAGCCUCCAAUUACCUCUUCCUUGGAGAUUAUGUGGAUCGGGGGAAGCAGUCAAUCGAAACCCUGUGCCUAUUGCUGGCUUAUAAAAUUAAAUAUCCAGAAAAUUUCUUUCUUCUUCGCGGAAACCAUGAGUCGGCUGGAAUCAACCGCAUAUAUGGAUUUUACGAUGAGUGCAAGCGGCGUUACACUAUUAAGCUAUGGCGUACAUUUGUUGAUUGUUAUAGUUGUAUGCCCGUAUCGGCCAUUGUCGACGAGAAAAUCUUUUGCUGCCAUGGCGGACUAAGCCCUGACUUGUUAAAUAUGAAUCAAAUUGGACAGUUGGCCCGACCUUGUGAUGUUCCUGACAAAGGAUUACUUUGCGAUCUCCUUUGGUCCGAUCCAGACCCUAAGAUAAUGGGAUGGAGCGAUAACGACCGCGGCGUCAGUGUCACCUUUGGUGCUGACAUAGUGGGCAAGUUCGUGCACCGACACAAAUUUGAUCUCAUCUGUCGUGCCCAUCAGGUCGUUGAGGAUGGUUACGAGUUCUUCGCUAAGCGUCAGCUAAUUACUAUAUUCUCAGCACCCAAUUACUGCGGAGAAUUUGACAAUGCAGGCGCUAUGAUGUCAGUAGAUGAAACAUUGAUGUGCUCGUUUUACGUUCUUAAGCCUUCGAAAAAACCAGGCUUGCGCAAAAUCCACUCGAAGAGUUGAAAUUAAAAUAAUGGGAUGAUGUUUUAAUAUUUGUAUCAGUACCUUGGUUUACAAACAAGCCGUGUGACAUAAAAAUUUUACGUUUUUAAUGCAAAUUUAAAUGUAUUGCACAUUCUGUGGUCAUGUGUUCCAGUCAGUUUUGGCUGGGAACUGUAAGAUAAGAAAUCACAAAUAUAGCAAAACGCAACUACGAUGAGCAAUCGUUUUUGAACGCGAUAUCAAAGAGCACACAAAACUAAGAGUCAUGUUGCUAAA